UACGGGGGGGGGCAAGCGUUGUUCGGAAUUACUGGGCGUAAAGGGCCAGUAGGCGGCCAACUAAGUCGGAUGUGAAAUCCCCAGGCUCAACUUGGGAACUGCAUCCGAUACUGGAUGGCUUGAAUUCGGGAGAGGGAUGCAGAAUUCCAGGUGUAGCGGUGAAAUGCGCAGAUAUCAGGAGGAACACCAAUGGCGAAGGCAGCUCGCUGGGACGGUACUGACGCUGAGGCGCGAAAGCGUGGGGAGCAAACAGG
rnacentral:rRNA from 1 species